CUGCCUGGGGAGUGGUAUUGGGAGGAAAAAGCUCAUUCUUUCUGUGUUUGUAGCUCUAAAAUAGAGAUAUUGGCACAACAGGGGAGAAGAGAGGCUGCAGAACUGCAGAGCAUCCUCAGCUGUUAAUGGCUGCUCCAGUUUUGAUGAAAGGUCAGACUUGAAAAGCUUUUGGAAAAAUUGUCCCACUUCUUGCUGCACAAAGUGGCAGAUAUCUCACAUUUUUCAGUGUUUUUUCUUUUUUUCUUGUAAAAGGAAGUUUAGACAGGAAAAUAUUUUCAUUUUAUUCUAUUUUUAAGGCUUUUUCUGUGUGUUUCCAGCCACUUAGUCCCCCAAGAACUGUCUUUUGUUGUAUAUUCAUAUCAGUGUUGAGAAACUGGAAACUUUUACUUAAUGAUUUUUGGUCUCACCUGCACCUGAGUUACCAGAAACUCUGAGCACAGAGCUGAAACUCUCUUUGUUCCAACAGUAUUUACACUACACAGGCACACAACCAGGUAUCAAAUUCAGGAAAAACACAAAUUCAGGCUCUUUAAUAUAUUUUUUCCAGGACAUGGAAGAUUCUGCCUGUGGAUUUAAUACCAAAGACAGCAAAGUCUUGGUGAGAGACAGAAGAAAAGGACAAACCAGGAGCUGAGCCCUUACUGGGAAGCAGACCUUGAAGGAGUCUGGAGCAGUUGCUAAGGAAACCGGAGAGAGGGCCCGGGAGCCAUUAGCUGCCGUCAUCGCCUGCCCGUCCGCAGAAAUGUCACUUCUGCUAACGAACACCGGAGGGAAAAAAAUAAAAUAAAAAAUAAAAAAAGGAAAGGGAAAAAAAAAAGUUAAACCCCCGAACAAAACGCAGCACCGAGCUGCUGAAGAAAGGGCUGGUGGAAGGGCCCUGCCUCUCCUCCCCGUGCAAAAGUGGCGUGUCCUCACCCCGCUGGGGAUCCUCAGCAUCCUUUGCCUGCUCUGCCUUUGCCCCGCAGAACAUGGGGGUGAGGGCUCCUCCCGGUGCCCACGGGCUAUCCCCGGCCAGGGGAAGGGCACAGAGGUGCCCGUGGAGGUCUCUGCCCCCCAAAGGGAGGCAGCAAAGGCCCAGUGUCCUCCUGCACUGUGUAUCCCACCCAGGGCAGGGUCUGAGGGGCAUGAGCAGCCUCCUCAGCUGCUUGUUCCUCCUACCUCCCGCUGCUAUGUUGUGAUUUUAACUUGAAGAGGGUUUUUAUUAAAAACCAGCCAGUUGCCCUUUGCCCUUUCCCGAGGUGAUGAUGAGGACAGGGGCUGUGGCUGCCCUUACAAUUCCCUGUGGAAUUGAGUUAACAAAAAGCAACACCCAUUGACCAAACCACAGUGGUUCUGCACCACACCACGCAUGGGUUCCCAUUGUGUGGGAGUUGGAGUUUACUGCUGACUUCAUAUAAAGUCCUGGCAUGUUCCUUCUUCUUCUGUUUGGAAACUUUUAUUCCCCAUCAU